AAACUUUACAAUGCGGGAAACCGUGAUAAGGGAACACCGAGUGCCAGCAUCAUAUGCUGGCUGUCCAGAUGUGUAAACUACAUCUGUUAGCAAGGGCCGGGCAAGACCGGUGCCAGCCGCCGCGGUAACACCGGCGGCCCGAGUGGUGACCGUUAUUAUUGGGUCUAAAGGGUCCGUAGCCGGUUUGGUCAGUCCUCCGGGAAAUCUGAUAGCUUAACUGUUAGGCUUUCGGGGGAUACUGCCAGGCUUGGAACCGGGAGAGGUAAGAGGUACUACAGGGGUAGGAGUGAAAUCUUGUAAUCCCUGUGAGACCACCUGUGGCGAAGGCGUCUUACCAGAACGGGUUCGACGGUGAGGGACGAAAGCUGGGGGCACGAACCGG
rnacentral:rRNA from 1 species